ACAUGGCCUCAAGUUUCCAAGAUUGGACUACGAGCGAUCAAAUUUUUCACGACUUGUAAAUAGUUUUUCCUCAUUUGAAAAAAAAAAAAAAACCAACAUCCCAGCCAUCUAUUGUCUUGCGAAGAGCCAUGGAGCGGCAUCUUGAUAAAUGGCAACGUUCUCGUCACUCAGCUGCACGUGACAAGAAGGCCUCAUUGGGAAGGGUUGAGCAACGUUUGUGAUGUUCCCACAAAAGAAGAAAAAAGAAAGAUGCCUUCUUGGAGUGAAGGAAGAUGGGAGGACAGCAAAGUAUGCAAGGACGCCAACAACAACAAGACGCGCCCCCAGCCGACAUUCCACAAUUGCAAGAGCGUGGAGGAGAGCUGCCGCAGUGCAUGAUGGGAAACAGGAAGGUAGACGACAUGCGCUACCUGAUCUCGUGUACCAACUGGUACUGAUGGUGAUGCGUUCAGGGGCCCUCCGGGUGGUGGCGACCAGUGCGCUGACAUACUUCCACGAAAUGCAACGAAAAUAAAAAACAAACCAAUACAAUAUUGCUGAAUAAUAAUCCAUUAUAGCAAUAUUAAUAACCUCUAGCAAAGUCCAGAUUGGAUAAGCACAACAUUAGCGAUCGCUGUGGCGGUCAUGUGAAGUCAGAUUUUUUUUUUUUAAAUAAAUCGAUCAACGUCGGACUUUAUUGAAGUGAAAGUAGAAAAUCAAUGUUGAAUUGAACUGUUUGUGUAAUAAAAACCGUCAAGUGUCGCUUAACC